rnacentral:rRNA from 1 species
UACGGGGGGGCAAGCGUUGUUCGGAAUUACUGGGCGUAAAGGGCGCGUAGGCGGCCUGCUAAGUCGGACGUGAAAUCCCUCGGCUCAACCGGGGAACUGCGUCCGAUACUGGUGGGCUCGAAUCCGGGAGAGGGAUGUGGAAUUCCAGGUGUAGCGGUGAAAUGCGUAGAUAUCUGGAGGAACACCGGUGGCGAAGGCGGCAUCCUGGACCGGCAUUGACGCUGAGGCGCGAAAGCCAGGGGAGCAAACGGG